AGCUAGGGUUAUCUACACACUGCCUAGUUGCUCCUCCCCAGACCAUCGGAAGGGGUUUUCGUCCUUUUACAGAUGGCAUGUUAAACCUGGCACGUGGUGGACACAGCCCAGGACUCCAUGUGGCUUCCCCAACGAUGGACCAGACAUGUUGCUCACAGGUAUCAGAAUCAUUUCAUCUUGACCCCAAACCUGGAUGUCGAAAGAUUUCAAGUAACAUGUUUCUGCUUUCAGGGAACCCUGAGCAACCCCACCUGGUUGGUGAGUGGAACAUCAAAGUCCACCUGUUCGGCUGAGAUCACCUUUUCCUAUAAAGUCACAAUGGUCUUGCACUCAGAGAAAUAUGCAAGCACAGGAGUGGAUGGAUUUUCUGUUCUAUUAAACCAUGUUCUUUUUGAGCAUCUUCUUAUGUCACUCACAUUAGGCAUUGGUCACCCAGCUAUUAAAAAGGAAGGCAAUCUGUGCCAUAAUGAAACACUUGUUUAAGAGGUGAUGCAAAUUGUAGGUAAAUAACGAAAAAACAAAAGCAAUGGACGAGGCUAGAGUCCAAUAACAAGUCCUCUGAAACAUAAUUUUCUCUCCCCAUUUUCCCAUUUUUCACUAAAGACAUUUCACGAAAGCCAGUAGUACCAGUUUAUUUGUAAAAUAAAUUUUAGCCUCAUUAUACUUGCCCUGAUUAUUUGCAUAAAGUGUAACAAGAAUAGUUAUUGGCCAUAU